ensembl:lncRNA
CUCCUGAGGAGAUGAGUACUGGUACGUUUUACACAGACACAACAACUGAUUCUACAGGCAAUUCUACUGUCAGCACAACUGCUGCCACUACAACUACUACAACUCAAGGAAAGGUCUUCCCUGGUAGUUUGUCUUUGAAGAGGGAUUUUAAAGAAGGAAUGAAUGACAGAAAGUCUGAGUUGUUUCAAGAAACUGCAGCUCAGAGGAAUCCUGGGUAAUGAUGACAAUGGCUAUAUUAAUUCUGUUGUUUUGAGUCUAAGUGAAGGCAGUGUAAUUGCAGAAUUGCAGAAUUUAUAUGACUUGUCAUCCAGUGCCACAUCAGAUUCAGUUGGAAAGAAGAUUGAUGAGGCAAUUUCGGAAAACCAAAUUCAAGAUGCCACUAACUUUACUCGAGGUUGAUGCUUUAGCUCAAGCUAUGACAAUAAGGAAUUUCAUAAACCUACUGAUGUUCCCACGAUUCCUCGGGGCAACCCUGAUGCUAGCUGGAAGUCUAACAAACUAGAGAUGACUGAUAGUGGGAGUAAUCAGGCACUGGUGACCAGAGAUCGCCCAGAGAGCAGAGUGGUAAGACCACAACUACAACACUACUCACUGGGCUUAUUACAGGCCACAUGAAUGUUAGUGAUGACCCUGGUUGAGCAUUAUUCAAUAAAAAUGUCAAAGUGCUAAAAUCA